GUGGGAAGCGUGACAAGGGUGGGAGCGAGCGUAGGGAUGGAGGUGGCGUUCGAUGUCCGCGCAGUUUCGAGCCAUCCCCGUCCGGAGAGAAUCGGUAUGGGGGUGGGUCGAGUUCGAAAUGACGGAGAACGGAUUUUCCGUCUAGUAGAACGCGCGACCUCAGCCCGGUAAGAUCGACGCCGCCCUCGCCCCCGAGACAACACGAGACGCGGUGAAACAAACCGACGAACGAACGCGACCACGAUUCCGCUUAGAGCUGGAACGCUGCCGACACCCUUCGCCAGCGUUGUAUCCUUAUUUUUGGGCUAUCGAAGGUGCAGAGUAACAUUCUCUCUGUUACGAAUCUUGGCAAAUAUAAUAAACAGGGUUCGAUGAUCAGGAAGAAGAAUUGAGACUGUAAAGUAAUAAAAGAAAGCAGAAGAUCGUCGUAUGAAUAGAGAAAAAGGUAUCAAUUGAUCAGAGAUCAUUGAAAUUUAGAGAGAGACACUGCGAUUGUAUAUUUGAUUUUCGCGAUCGCCACGCUGGAAAUGAACAGGAUCGCCUCGUGCGCGAACACUGACGGAGGUUGAUUCGCAAUCGAGGCAGAGGCAGGAUCAAAAGAAAUAGCUCGGUGUCCCGAGAUGAGAAGGAAACGUAUGAAAAGAUUCGAAGAAACGCGCGCAACCAGAACACGUAGGAUGUCGGACUGAUUGGCCAUAGGGGAAGAGAGAAGGGACCGGAAGUGUGACGCAAAGUCUCAAGAGAAGGGCCGCUUGUACUCGCUGCUGGGCGGAAAUCUCGAUCGUAACUGAGAGACCGACACACGGUAUCGGUUUUAUGUUGGAGAUCGCGCCACGUUUCCGUAACGGCGUCGUCGAUGAGAUUCGAAGAUGCCAGACAACGCAAACUGCCACGCGUCGCUCGCGAAAGUUAAUACCGACUCAUCCCCCAAGAUCUGCAAACGCGAGAACGACGUUGCGUUAUUGGAUCAACGUCACAGUUAACAAACAUUGACUAAACAUUCACGAAGAAAGGAUCCACCGUAUUUUCACCAAAAAAAAAAAAAAAAAAAAAAAAAAAAA